CUCUCCUGGUUUGCAGAGCAUAGGAACAGAUCUGCUCUGCCAACCAUGUGAUGUGGGGCUAAAACACGACCCAUAGCGGCCUUCCGGUCCCUGGGCUCUGUUGGGCUGGCUGCACUUUGAGAAGCAGCCAACGUGGCCGACCUGCUGAAGUUAAUUGCUGCAGAGAACCAAGGUUAACAAAAGCUGCUGGGGAAAAGAUGGUGGCAAAAAGAAAGGCAAGUACUACAUGUAAGUUCUUCUCCAUGACCUCCCAGUGAAGAAAAGAAACAUGGCAGAGAGGACCUUCAAAGUUCUCCCAACUCUGAAGUGAUCUGAUGCUUGGAUCUAUGUAUCAUCUUUCCAGAUGAGACUUUGUGUCUCAUGGAUGUGGCAAAGGCAGCAGAACUGCACCAAGACAGAGCUGGUAAAGAGCAACUCAAGUGGAAGUUCCCUGGGGACAAGUACUGCUAAAGUCAUUGAAGUUGCUGGCAUUAUGUUUCUACGAUUCUCUGAUCCCAAGUCCUAUAUGUUAUAACAAUAUUAGAGAGGAAGCACCAUCAUAAAUAAAACCAAAAAGCACACAGUUUUUAAUAAUUCAUUUGUCCGUAUCUUACCACCUACGUGAUGUCUUGUUUUAAAAGAAUUACAUGGAUUUGCAUUUCAAUAUUUUAGCUAUUACUCACUUGUACAGGUAGUCGAUUCCUC
rnacentral:lncRNA from 1 species